rnacentral:lncRNA from 1 species
GUAUUUCAAAAUCUUGUGGAUCCUCUCGGUUAUUGCGGUGACGUCUUUGUGGAGUCUGUUUUUCCUCAUCCAGUGGAGACCCUCUCCUCCUUAAAAUAUUGCGCGCUGGUGCAUCUUGGUUUAUUUCCUGUCUUUGCAUCCUAUGUUUAAAUGAACAUUUACAAUCAAUAUGUUUUUUUUCUUUCUCAAAGUUCAUCAAGUUCAAACAAGUCAAAGCAUUAUUCUAAACAUUGCUAGAUUCAGUUUGUCAUCGUUGAACCAAUGGCGUGUAACUAACGGUAUUAUAGUAAAUGUGAAUACGAAAAGUAAAACUG